rnacentral:rRNA from 1 species
UGGGGAAUAUUGGACAAUGGGCGCAAGCCUGAUCCAGCAAUGCCGCGUGGGUGAAGAAGGUCUUCGGAUUGUAAAGCCCUUUCGACGGGGACGAUGAUGACGGUACCCGUAGAAGAAGCCCCGGCUAACUUCGUGCCAGCAGCCGCGGUAAUACGAAGGGGGCUAGCGUUGCUCGGAAUGACUGGGCGUAAAGGGCGCGUAGGCGGAUGGGACAGUCAGAUGUGAAAUUCCUGGGCUUAACCUGGGGCUGCAUUUGAUACGUGUUGUCUAGAGUUCGGAAGAGGGUCGUGGAAUUCCCAGUGUAGAGGUGAAAUUCGUAGAUAUUGGGAAGAACACCGGUGGCGAAGGCGGCGACCUGGUCCUGGACUUGACGCUGAGGCGCGAAAGCGUGGGGAGCAAAACA